rnacentral:SRP_RNA from 1 species
CUGCACCAAUCGGGGAGCUAGCGGUGCCCUGUGACCUGCAAUCCGCUAUAGCAGGGAUGGAUUCCCGAGAGAGGAUAUGUGGUGUAUUGUCUGCGUCCAUUAAGUAACGUUGACGUUCCGGUCCUUCGCAACGGAAACCCGUGAACCAUGUCAGGCGGGGAACCGAGCAGCAUUAAGCGGGCAACUCCGUGUGCCGCAGGUAAGCCGGGAAAUAGUUGGCUGAUGGAUGGCGGAUGUACCGCAUCAUUCAAUCAAGGGUGUGCAG